rnacentral:rRNA from 1 species
UACGGGGGGGGGCAAGCGUUGUUCGGAAUCAUUGGGCGUAAAGCGUGCGCAGGCGGCGCGUUAAGACAGGUGUGAAAGCCCCGAGCUUAACUUGGGAAUUGCGCUUGUGACUGGCGUGCUGGAGUGUGGCAGAGGGAGGUGGAAUUCCACGUGUAGCAGUGAAAUGCGUAGAGAUGUGGAGGAACACCGAUGGCGAAGGCAGCCUCCUGGGCCAGCACUGACGCUCAUGCACGAAAGCGUGGGGAGCAAACAGG